UUUAGUCAACUAAAUAACACCAAGAUAUUAAAAGCUAUGUUCUUCAAAUCUAAAGAAUUUGGCGGUAAUUUAGUCCAGUUAGAGGAACCUGUUUGGUAAACGAUAAACCACGAAAAAUCUUACCUACUUUCAAAGUUUGUAUACCGUCAUUAUUAGAUAACUUUCAAUGAAAAAGUUAUUUUAAUAAAUUUAAUUUAAUAUAUUAGAUCAAGGUGCAGCCAAUAAGUAGGUCUUAAUGGGUUACAAUAAAACUUAUUUAUUUACGAAUAUAAAAUGUAAUCAUUUUAUUGAAGGAGGAUUUAAUAGUAAAAUUGGUUUAAUAAGCCUUUUUGAUAAAGGAUCUAAAUUGAGUACAUAUCGCCCGUCGCUUUCAUUCUACAAAUGAAAUAAGUCGUAACAUAG
rnacentral:rRNA from 1 species